rnacentral:rRNA from 1 species
UCCGUAGGCGGGCUAAUAAGUCAGGGGUAAAAUCCAACAGCUUAACUGUUGAACUGCCUUUGAUACUGUUAGUCUUGAAUUAUAUGGAAGUAGAUAGAAUGUGUAGUGUAGCGGUGAAAUGCUUAGAGAUUACACAGAAUACCGAUUGCGAAGGCAGUCUACUACGUAUAUAUUGACGCUAAUGGACGAAAGCGUGGGGAGCGAACAGGAUUAGAUACCCUGGUAGUCC